GACGAACGCUGGCGGCGUGCUUAACACAUGCAAGUCGAACGGAAAGGCCUUUUCGGAGGUACUCGAGUGGCGAACGGGUGAGUAACACGUGGGUGAUCUGCCCUGCACUCUGGGAUAAGCCUGGGAAACUGGGUCUAAUACCGGAUAGGACCGCACUUUAGUGUGUGUGGUGGAAAGUUUUUUCGGUGUAGGAUGAGCCCGCGGCCUAUCAGCUUGUUGGUGGGGUAAUGGCCUACCAAGGCGGCGACGGGUAGCCGGACUGAGAGGUUGGUCGGCCACAUUGGGACUGAGAGACGGCCCAGACGCCUACGGGAGGCAGCAGUGGGGAAGAUUGCACAAUGGGCGCAAGCCUGAUGCAGCGACGCCGCGUGGGGGAUGACGGCCUUCGGGUUGUAAACUCCUUUCGCCAGGGACGAAGCGUUUUGUGACGGUACCUGGAGAAGAAGCACCGGCUAACUACGUG
rnacentral:rRNA from 1 species